rfam:Trichoderma gamsii strain T6085 Scaffolds0026.1, whole genome shotgun sequence.
CUCUGGGUGGUCUAGUUGGUUCAUGGCGUCUGACUGUAAUGGAAAACAUCUCAUCAGAAAGUCGGCGGUUCGAUUCCGUCCCCGGAGA